rnacentral:rRNA from 1 species
ACGAUGUCGAUUAAAAGCUUGGGCUUCGGCCUGGGUUUUGGAGCAAACGCGCUAAAUCGACCGCCUGGGGAGUACGGCCGCAAGGCUAAAACUCAAAUGAAUUGACGGGGGCCCGCACAAGCGGUGGAGCAUGUGGUUUAAUUCGAUGCAACGCGAAGAACCUUACCUGACCUUGACAUCUGAGGAGCUGGGCAGAGAUGCCUGGGUGCCUUCGGGAACCUCAAGACAGGUGCUGCAUGGCUGUCGUCAGCUCGUGUCGUGAGAUGUUGGGUUAAGUCCCGCAACGAGCGCAACCCUUGUCCUUUGUUGCCAGCGGGCAAAGCCGGGAACUCAAAGGAGACUGCCAGUCACAAACUGGAGGAAGGCAGGGAUGACGUCAAGUCAUCAUGGCCCUUACGGUCAGGGCUACACACGUGCUACAAUGGGGCGUACAGAGGGAGACGAGCCCGCGAGGGGGAGUGGAACCCAGAAAGCGUCCCGCAGUUCGGAUUGGAGUCUGCAACUCGGCUCCAUGAAGUCGGAAUCGCUAGUAAUCGCGGAUCAGAAUGCCGCGGUGAAUACGUUCCCGGGCCUUGUACACACCGCCCGUCACACCAUGGGAGUGAAUUGCACCAGAAGUAGUUAGCCUAACCGCGAGGGGGGCGAUUACCACGGUGUGGUUUAUGACUGGGGUGAAGUCGUAACAAGGUAACCGUAA